rnacentral:misc_RNA from 1 species
UCAACUCCUCACAUCAAUAUGGAACUCCUAGCUAUUGGGUGCAACGUUUCUUUAUGGAUUCAAGUGGAGCAACUCUUCUUAAUUCUACCCUUCAAAUAAACUCCUCUACUUUACUUGUUGCAUCUGCAAUUAUAUGGCAGGACUCAGUGGAUAGUAAAAGUUACCUAAAAAUAAAGAUUGUGAACUUUGGGAGCAAUACAGUAAGUCUCAAAAUUUCUAUUGAGGGAUUGGAGGACAAUUCCAUACAGCAGUCUGGAUCAACAAAGACUCUACUCACUUCUGCUAAUCUAAUGGAUGAGAAUACCUUCAAGGAGCCAAAUAAGGUGGGGCCUAUGCAAAGUCUGCUUGACAACGCUGGCAAGGACAUGGAUGUUGUACUCUUGCCAUUUUCUUUAACUUCAUUUGACUUGUUAACAGAAGCAAACAAUAUCAGGAUCACAGAUACUGAUUCUUUCUCUAUAUCUUCAAUUUAAAAACACAAAACAACGUAGUUGUAUGGAAAAAGAAAAGAAAAAAAAAAAAGAGAAACGUUUAAAUAAGCGUUUGGCCAGCAUAUUUGAUCUUUGUCAAUGUAGUUGGCAAACAUAAGAAUAUAAAUAUCUAUAUAUCUAUGCUCCAGGCUUGAUAAUGGAAGCCNNNNNNNNNUCACUUUUUAUUGGAAUAAUUACAUUAUAGCAUUGUCAGUUUCUCUUUUUUUUUUUUUCUUUUCUUUU